rnacentral:rRNA from 1 species
CCUACGGGAGGCAGCAGUGGGGAAUCUUCCGCAAUGGGCGAAAGCCUGACGGAGCAACGCCGCGUGAUCGAAUGAAGGCCUGAGUGUUGUAAAGAUCUGUUGACAGGGACGAAUAAGCCAUGCGCAUAGUUUGGUGUAUGACGGUACCUGUUUAGAAAGCUCCGGCUAACUACGUGCCAGCAGCCGCGGUAAUACGUAGGGAGCAAGCGUUGUCCGGAAUUACUGGGCGUAAAGAGCGCGUAGGUGGGUGCUUAAGUCAGGUGUGAAAACUCUGGGCUCAACCUGGAGACUGCACUUGAAACUGGGUAUCUUGAGGGCAGGAGAGGAAAGUGGAAUGCCGAGUGUAGCGGUGAAAUGCGUAGAUAUUAGGAGGAACACCAGUGGCGAAGGCGACUUUCUGGACUGUACCUGACGCUGAGGCGCGAAAGCGUGGGUAGCGAACGGGAUUAGAUACCCGUGUAGUC